CUUGCUUUUGCCUUUCCUUACAUUACUUUUAGGUCACUGAAUUGGCUGUUCUGACCUAAGAUGACAGAACAAGGAUGGUAUUUUCUCUUCAAGAGUUUGGGAAGCUCUUAUUUGGACAGCACUUAUAGUUUUUUGAGAACUUAAAGUCCAAGAUUCACCAAGAUUGUGUGUCAAAGUACCAAAUAGUGAGAGAAUGGACAUGAAGGUAUGCAGCUGUACAAUCUUAAAGUACAGCUGCAGCUGCUGUACAAGGGCACAGAUGUUGACUUCAGUGCCUGGGAUCACGGAAAACUGUAUGACACACGGAUCUGAGAUACCCAAAGCUGACACCUCCCACCCCACUUAGAUGUACACUUUUUUAUUUUGAAAACUUUGGAUUGAAAUUUGUAUAAAAUAUAUUAAUGCUUCCCUCCUGCCUUUUAAAACGUAGUAUGAAGAAUAUAACAAUCUUUUUUGAAUGACUCAGUGUCUACAAUAUGAGCUCUGAUCUGUGCUUUACACUUCAUUGAUAGUCUCAGAAGCUAUUAAGUUAGCUUGCCUCUAAUCGAAAUAGUCCCAUACACCAGCAUGGUUUCAGUUUUGCUAUUU
rnacentral:lncRNA from 1 species